CGAAAGCGAGUCUGAAUAGGGCGCAUGAGUUAGAUGGAUCAGACCCGAAACCGAGUGAUCUAGGCAUGGCCAGGUUGAAGGUUGGGUAACACCAACUGGAGGACCGAACCCACAUCCGUUGAAAAGGAUCGGGAUGAGCUGUGCCUAGGGGUGAAAGGCCAAUCAAACUUGCUGAUAGCUGGUUCUCCGCGAAAUCUAUUUAGGUAGAGCGUCAUCCGAAUACCCCCGGGGGUAGAGCACUGGAUGGGUAAUGGGGCCCCACAGGCUUACUGAUCCUAACCAAACUCCGAAUACCGGGGAGUACUAGAUGGCAGACACACGGCGGAUGCUAACGUCCGUCGUGGAGAGGGCAACAACCCAGACCGCCAGCUAAG
rnacentral:rRNA from 1 species